rnacentral:rRNA from 1 species
CAGCCGCCGCGGGAAUACGUAGGUGGCAAGCGUUGUCCGGAAUUAUUGGGCGUAAGGGCUCGCAGGCGGUUUCUUAAGUCUGAUGUGAAAGCCCCCGGCUCAACCGGGGAGGGUCAUUGGAAACUGGGAAACUUGAGUGCAGAAGAGGAGAGUGGAAUUCCACGUGUAGCGGUGAAAUGCGUAGAGAUGUGGAGGAACACCAGUGGCGAAGGCGACUCUCUGGUCUGUAACUGACGCUGAGGAGCGAAAGCGUGGGGAGCGAACAGGAUUAGAUACCCCUGUAGUCCCUGUCUCUUAUACA